GAUGAACGCUGGCGGCGUGCCUAAUACAUGCAAGUCGAGCGAACGGACGAGACGCUUGCUUCUCUGAUGUUAGCGGCGGACGGGUGAGUAACACGUGGAUAACCUACCUAUAAGACUGGGAUAACUUCGGGAAACCGGAGCUAAUACCGGAUAAUAUUUUGAACCGCAUGGUUCAAAAGUGAAAGACGGUCUUGCUGUCACUUAUAGAUGGAUCCGCGCUGCAUUAGCUAGUUGGUAAGGUAACGGCUUACCAAGGCAACGAUGCAUAGCCGACCUGAGAGGGGGAUCGGCCACACUGGAACUGAGACACGGUCCAGACUCCUACGGGAGGCAGCAGUAGGGAAUCUUCCGCAAUGGGCGAAAGCCUGACGGAGCAACGCCGCGUGAGUGAUGAAGGUCUUCGGAUCGGAAAACUCUGUUAUUAGGGAAGAACAGAUGUGUAAGUAACUGUGCACAGCUUGACGGUACCUAAUCAGAAAGCCACGGCUAACUACGUG
rnacentral:rRNA from 1 species